UACGUAGGGUGCAAGCGUUGUCCGGAAUUAUUGGGCGUAAAGAGCUCGUAGGCGGUCUGUCGCGUCUGCUGUGAAAACUCGGGGCUUAACCCCGGGCCUGCAGUGGGUACGGGCAGACUAGAGUGCGGUAGGGGAGACUGGAAUUCCUGGUGUAGCGGUGAAAUGCGCAGAUAUCAGGAGGAACACCGGUGGCGAAGGCGGGUCGCUGGGCCGUAACUGACGCUGAGGAGCGAAAGCUAGGGGAGCGAACGGG
rnacentral:rRNA from 1 species